rnacentral:rRNA from 1 species
AAGGUUAAGCCUCACGGUUCAUUAGUACCGGUUAGCUCAACGCAUCGCUGCGCUUACACACCCGGCCUAUCAACGUCGUCGUCUUCAACGUUCCUUCAGGACUCUCAAGGAGUCAGGGAGAACUCAUCUCGGGGCAAGUUUCGUGCUUAGAUGCUUUCAGCACUUAUCUCUUCCGCAUUUAGCUACCGGGCAGUGCCAUUGGCAUGACAACCCGAACACCAGUGAUGCGUCCACUCCGGUCCUCUCGUACUAGGAGCAGCCCCCCUCAGUUCUCCAGCGCCCACGGCAGAUAGGGACCGAACUGUCUCACGACGUUCUAAACCCAGCUCGCGUACCACUUUAAAUGGCGAACAGCCAUACCCUUGGGACCUACUUCAGCCCCAGGAUGUGAUGAGCCGACAUCGAGGUGCCAAACACCGCCGUCGAUAUGAACUCUUGGGCGGUAUCAGCCUGUUAUCCCCGGAGUACCUUUUAUCCGUUGAGCGAUGGCCCUUCCAUUCAGAACCACCGGAUCACUAUGACCUGCUUUCGCACCUGCUCGCGCCGUCACGCUCGCAGUCAAGCUGGCUUAUGCCAUUGCACUAACCUCCUGAUGUCCGACCAGGAUUAGCCAACCUUCGUGCUCCUCCGUUACUCUUUAGGAGGAGACCGCCCCAGUCAAACUACCCACCAGACACUGUCCGCAACCCGGAUUACGGGUCCACGUUAGAACAUCAAACAUUAAAGGGUGGUAUUUCAAGGCCGGCUCCAUGCAGACUGGCGUCCACACUUCUAAGCCUCCCACCUAUCCUACACAUCAAGGCUCAAUGUUCAGUGUCAAGCUAUAGUAAAGGUUCACGGGGUCUUUCCGUCUUGCCGCGGGUACACUGCAUCUUCACAGCGAGUUCAAUUUCACUGAGUCUCGGGUGGAGACAGCCUGGCCAUCAUUACGCCAUUCGUGCAGGUCGGAACUUACCCGACAAGGAAUUUCGCUACCUUAGGACCGUUAUAGUUACGGCCGCCGUUUACCGGGGCUUCGAUCAAGAGCUUCGCUUGCGCUGACCCCAUCAAUUAACCUUCCGGCACCGGGCAGGCGUCACACCGUAUACGUCCACUUUCGUGUUUGCACAGUGCUGUGUUUUUAAUAAACAGUUGCAGCCAGCUGGUAUCUUCGACUGAUUUCAGCUCCAUCCGCGAGGGACUUCACCUACAUAUCAGCGUGCCUUCUCCCGAAGUUACGGCACCAUUUUGCCUAGUUCCUUCACCCGAGUUCUCUCAAGCGCCUUGGUAUUCUCUACCUGACCACCUGUGUCGGUUUGGGGUACGAUUUGAUGUUACCUGAUGCUUAGAGGCUUUUCCUGGAAGCAGGGCAUUUGUUGCUUCAGCACCGUAGUGCCUCGUCAUCACGCCUCAGCCUUGAUUUUCCGGAUUUGCCUGGAAAAUCAGCCUACACGCUUAAACCGGGACAACCGUCGCCCGGCCAACAUAGCCUUCUCCGUCCCCCCUUCGCAGUAACACCAAGUACAGGAAUAUUAACCUGUUUCCCAUCGACUACGCCUUUCGGCCUCGCCUUAGGGGUCGACUCACCCUGCCCCGAUUAACGUUGGACAGGAACCCUUGGUCUUCCGGCGAGCGGGCUUUUCACCCGCUUUAUCGUUACUUAUGUCAGCAUUCGCACUUCUGAUACCUCCAGCAUGCCUCACAGCACACCUUCACAGGCUUACAGAACGCUCCCCUACCCAACAACGCAUAAGCGUCGCUGCCGCAGCUUCGGUGCAUGGUUUAGCCCCGUUACAUCUUCCGCGCAGGCCGACUCGACCAGUGAGCUAUUACGCUUUCUUUAAAUGAUGGCUGCUUCUAAGCCAACAUCCUGGCUGUCUGGGCCUUCCCACAUCGUUUCCCACUUAACCAUGACUUUGGGACCUUAGCUGGCGGUCUGGGUUGUUUCCCUCUUCACGACGGACGUUAGCACCCGCCGUGUGUCUCCCGUGAUAACAUUCUCCGGUAUUCGCAGUUUGCAUCGGGUUGGUAAGUCGGGAUGACCCCCUUGCCGAAACAGUGCUCUACCCCCGGAGAUGAAUUCACGAGGCGCUACCUAAAUAGCUUUCGGGGAGAACCAGCUAUCUCCCGGUUUGAUUGGCCUUUCACCCCCAGCCACAAGUCAUCCGCUAAUUUUUCAACAUUAGUCGGUUCGGUCCUCCAGUUAGUGUUACCCAACCUUCAACCUGCCCAUGGCUAGAUCACCGGGUUUCGGGUCUAUACCCUGCAACUUAACGCCCAGUUAAGACUCGGUUUCCCUUCGGCUCCCCUAUUCGGUUAACCUUGCUACAGAAUAUAAGUCGCUGACCCAUUAUACAAAAGGUACGCAGUCACCCCAUAAAGAGGCUCCCACUGCUUGUACGUACACGGUUUCAGGUUCUUUUUCACUCCCCUCGCCGGGGUUCUUUUCGCCUUUCCCUCACGGUACUGGUUCACUAUCGGUCAGUCAGGAGUAUUUAGCCUUGGAGGAUGGUCCCCCCAUAUUCAGACAGGAUACCACGUGUCCCGCCCUACUCAUCGAGCUCACAGCAUGUGCAUUUUUGUGUACGGGGCUGUCACCCUGUAUCGCGCGCCUUUCCAGACGCUUCCACUAACACACACACUGAUUCAGGCUCUGGGCUGCUCCCCGUUCGCUCGCCGCUACUGGGGGAAUCUCGGUUGAUUUCUUUUCCUCGGGGUACUUAGAUGUUUCAGUUCCCCCGGUUCGCCUCAUUAACCUAUGGAUUCAGUUAAUGAUAGUGUGUCGAAACACACUGGGUUUCCCCAUUCGGAAAUCGCCGGUUAUAACGGUUCAUAUCACCUUACCGACGCUUAUCGCAGAUUAGCACGUCCUUCAUCGCCUCUGACUGCCAGGGCAUCCACCGUGUACGCUUAGUCGCUUAA